rnacentral:rRNA from 1 species
GAUGAACGCUGGCGGCGUGCCUAAUACAUGCAAGUCGAGCGAACGGACGAGAAGCUUGCUUCUCUGAUGUUAGCGGCGGACGGGUGAGUAACACGUGGAUAACCUACCUAUAAGACUGGGAUAACUUCGGGAAACCGGAGCUAAUACCGGAUAAUAUUUUGAACCGCAUGGUUCAAAAGUGAAAGACGGUCUUGCUGUCACUUAUAGAUGGAUCCGCGCUGCAUUAGCUAGUUGGUAAGGUAACGGCUUACCAAGGCAACGAUGCAUAGCCGACCUGAGAGGGGGAGCGGCCACACAGGAACGGAGACACGGGCCAGACCCCUACGGGAGGCAGAAGGAGGGAAUAUUCCUCAAGGGGCGCAAGACUGACGGAGCAACGCCGCGUGGGGGAAGAAGGUCUUUGGAUCUUAAAAAAUUUUUUUUAGGGAAGAAAAAAAGUAUGAGUAACUAUCCACGCCCUGACGGUACCUAAAGAAAAAGACACGGCUAACUACGUG